CAACCUUCUCAAGAUAAGCUGUCUCGUUGCUCACAGUUUCUCACACUCCUCUGAGCUCUGCAGACAUGAACGGUAACUUUGGCCACUCACCCCAGCCAGUGUUCACGGUGGAUUCUGCCGGAGGUCAUCCUAAACAAGACUUGUAUUACCACCAGCAGUUGCCCAGACCACCGGUGCCCUGCUGGACCUUCCCCCCUGCCCGAGAUGAGAUGAAGAAAAGGGGCUGGGGGACAAUGAAUAAAGGCAUAGUCUGGGUACUGAUACUGAUACUCCUGCUGGUUUUUGCAGCCCUGGGACUGGGAGCCUAUCAGAUCCUGAGGUUACAGACUGAAAUGCAACGGCUGACACAGGAAAUACCCGCACAAAUGCAGAGCCCCGCUCCACAGAAACAAGUUGGCCUAUAUCCUGCUGAGCUGAACAAGAACAAACAAAACUCUGCAGCACACUUAAUAGGUUGUGCUGACCAGAGCAAAUCAUCUGGAACUCUGAAGUGGGAAGCAAAAUUUGGUGAUGCCUUCACAGAAGGUGUCAAGUACAUCAACGGUGGCCUUCUGGUCAACAAGACUGGUUUGUACUUCGUUUACUCCCGCGUGGAGUUUAUUUCACCCAAGUGCAACUCCAGAGACUCUUACACACACAUAAUGAGUCGGCAGAGAAACGGACACAACCGGAGAAUCAUGGAAGAUCACCAAGAGGGGAUCUGUACGGUGGGGAGCAAACAUCCGUGGAUGACCAGCAGUCAUUUAGGCUCGCUUCAGCAUCUCAGGCAGUCCGACUGGCUGUUUGUCAAUGUCUCACACCCCCAUCUGAUCAGCAAAAAUUAUCACAACAACUAUUUUGGCCUCUUCAAGAUCAACUGAUCACGGAGGACACUUAGGUGGUGCAUAUGAAGGACAUGAUUGUGAUUUCAGAUGAAGAGGUCGGCAAUCUCUGGUCUACCCUGUGAUCCGCAGAGCUUCACAUUUGAUUUUGAAUGUAUCAGUUGCCUGUAGCCAUUAAGUUCUUUUGAAAUGUCAUGCAGAAGAGUUUCAGAUUGAAAGAACACUAAUACGCUUCUGUAUCAGGAGAAAUUUGAUUAAAUCUAAAUAUUUAUUUUCUCUAAAGUCUGAUUGUAUAUUCAUACGAUCAGAGGUCACAUUGACUGAGUAAUAUAUCAAUAAUGGUUAAGAAAUGUGCUCAAAAACAAUUUGCAAAAACUAUUGUUGAUUUCAAAAGUGAAUCAAGGUAGGAUGUGUCACACUCUGAGAUGAGUUACAUUUUGUGUCAAGGUUUUUCCAUGGCCACUAAUACUAGCAUGUGAUAGUUGGUUGGCUGUCUCUGGAAAUUAUGUUGAUUUUCUGGUUGAACAUUUCCAGAGCUA